UCACCUGUGCCCAGUCAUCCUGCCCUUGUCUCUGGUCAUUCUUUUGUUUUUUGUCAAGUUUUCCUGCCUGUCUCUCUAUGCCGAUUUGGAUUUUUAACCUGGAUUGUGGACUUUGUAUUUUUGCCUACCCUAUGUGGAUAUGUUGCCUUAUUUUGGACUGCUACCCUGUUUUUGGAAUCUUGCCUGCCAGCCCUGCCAUUGGUGGUGGACAAUCAUCACGCUGAUUAGCAAACCUUUAACCAGAGAGGAGGGAGGAAUCAGUGAAACCAGCUGAUGUAAUGUUACAGACUGCAGACUCUGGGUUGUCCGCUGCACAAAGCAUUCACCCCUGCAGGAAAGGCUCCCUGAUACUCUGAAGGCUCAGACUGUACAGUAAGAUAGUGAAUAGGGCACGGGCCAGCUGAAUGUGUAAAGGGUUAUUCUGAGUUAGCAUUCUCUGCAUAAAACAGCUAUAAUAAACCAGAUAUGUUUGUUAAAACUGAAA